rnacentral:rRNA from 1 species
GACGAACGCUGGCGGCGUGCCUAAUACAUGCAAGUCGAGCGAAGUGGAGAGAGCUUGCUCUCAAAGCUUAGCGGCGAACGGGUGAGUAACACGUGGGCAACCUGCCUGACAGACUGGGAUAACUUGGGGAAACUCAAGCUAAUACCGGAUAGGAUCUCAAAUCGCAUGGUUUGAGAUGGAAAGUCUGAACGACACUGUCAGAUGGGCCCGCGGCGCAUUAGCUAGUUGGUGGGUAAUGGCCUACCAAGGCGACGAUGCGUAGCCGACCUGAGAGGGUGACCGGCCACACUGGGACUGAGACACGGCCCAGACUCCUACGGGAGGCAGCAGUAGGGAAUCUUCCACAAUGGACGAAAGUCUGAUGGAGCAACGCCGCGUGAGUGAUGAAGGUUUUCGGAUCGUAAAACUCUGUUGUUAGGGAAGAACACCCGGGAGAGGAUCCCGGAUUGACGGUACCUGACGAGAAAGCCCCGGCUAACUACGUG